rnacentral:rRNA from 1 species
UACGGGGGGGGCAAGCGUUGUUCGGAAUUACUGGGCGUAAAGGGCUCGUAGGUGGCCAACUAAGUCAGACGUGAAAUCCCUCGGCUUAACCGGGGAACUGCGUCUGAUACUGGAUGGCUUGAGUUCGGGAGAGGGAUGCGGAAUUCCAGGUGUAGCGGUGAAAUGCGUAGAUAUUGGGAGGAACACCAGUGGCGAAGGCGGCUCGCUGGACCGGUUCUGACGCUGAGGCGCGAAAGCGUGGGGAGCAAACAGG